rnacentral:sRNA from 1 species
CUCUCCCAAUAAUACAUCCGAGUCAACAUCGUAUUGGGAGGGGAAAAGGAAAGAAAAAAAAAGAAAGAAAAUAGAAGUGAGGCACGUUUCGUGCAUAUCCGCAUAGCUAAAAAUCCGAGUCAAGCCAUAGGGCAAGUUGUGCAAAUCGAUCAAUCUAUUCGAACUGUCCAGCCCCUUGAGUCUUCCAUAGACCCAGUUUGAAUUCCAACUAGUAUUUUCCGCAGUUUUUGGGACAAUGAUUCUGCUCCAGUUUUGUAUUCAACUCUGCAUUAUCAGUAUUAUCAGCAAUUUGUUAGUACAACAAUUAUUAGUUGUUGGGAAUUUUCAAGAAUAUUAGGAAAGAUAACGGACCAGUAACCAAAUUCCUACUGAAAAAUCGAACUUUCUUUUAACAAUGUUUUUAAUCUCACACGUCAUAUAACAAAUAAAAUUUUAAUAGAGUGAGCAUUAAUUAAUGAUCAGCAUGGACACAGUUUACCUUGUUUCCGUGAAGGUUACAGAUGAAACAGAGUUGACAACAACUGCAGUUCCUGUGCAGAACACUUCAUCAGCAUCUAGCAUCUCCUCCAAUGAUAUGGCACGUUCCAUGACCUGAAACAUAAUUCAAGUAUUCGUAUUCUUAGUAACCGAACAAAUAUUGCGAAAUCAUUAAUAGGGUGCAUUUCAAAGCUUACGAAAAAUUAAUACCUGAUACCCCAAAUCUAAGGCAAUUUCAAUGAUGGAUUUUCGUGUGAUCCCAGGCAGAAUGGCUCCAUUUGUUUCCGGAGUGCAGAUACUAUUACCCUUCACAACAAACACAUUGCAUGCAGAAACCUCUUCUAUGUUUUUUCCAGUUGAAGAGUCCAAGAACAAGACAUCAGAGAAUCCAUCAGCCCUCGCUGCAGUGGUUGCAGCAUAAACCUACAAUGCAUAUACACAGUCAAUGAAGAGCGAAAUUCGUUUAAGGGAUUAUAAUAUGCCUUAUGAUUUUGUCUGACUAACUGUACAUCAAUUUCUUGUAUUACCAGCAGCAUAUAUAAGCAAAAUGGACCCGCUUUCACUAAAUUAGAGAAAAGUGGUACAAUGGCAUUGAUAUGCUUACAGGGGCAUAGUUGGUAACACUCUUGAUCCCUCCGGUUCCACCAGUGCCAGAUAUUGCUCGAUAAAACUUACUCUCCACUUUCAAGUUCAGUGCACCCUGUCAUAAAAUUGAAAUUUAGUCUUGAUAUGAAAUUUCAUUAAAUAUUUUCUCUAUAAUAAAAUCGAUUCUUUGUAACAGACCUUGUGGUAGUUAGUGACAGGACAACAAUAAACAAGUAGUGUGUACUCUGGUGCAGGAACCACGCUUAAAGAAGCUCCUGUUCCCAUGAGCAAUGGCCUAAUAUACAACGAUCCUUUCCCUAGUGGAGGCACCUGUUUCAUAUUUGAAGAUCAGUUCAACUUAUUUUUCAA